rnacentral:RNase_P_RNA from 1 species
GCGCGCGAGCGACCGGUCGCUACCGCAAGGUAGAGGAAAGUCCGGACUCCGCAGGGCAGGAAACCGAUUCGUCAAGGAUCGGGGGCGUUGGGUAAACCAGCGCAACGGAUAGUGUCACAGAAACAAACAGCGAAGAAUCCUUUUGGGUUCCGCAAUGGUGAAAAGGCGGGGUAAGAGCCCACCGGCGCGGCUGAAACGACGCGUGUCAAGACAAACCCUUUCCGGAGCAAGAUCGAAUAGGGAGCCGAACAUGUCGCCCGCAUGGUUUGCGCUUAAAAAGCGCGAUAAGGUUCCGGGUAGAUCGCGUAGAUGAAUGAUCGGAGUUCCCUUUUGGGAAUGAACAGAAUCUGGCUUAUUCGCCGCGCGCCGCU